rnacentral:rRNA from 2 species
CCUACGGGAGGCAGCACUGGGGUUCUUGCGAAUGGGCGAAAGCGUGAUGCAGCCAUGCCGCGUGUGUGAAGAAGGCCUUCGGAUUGUAAAGUACUUUCAGCUGGGAGGAGGGUGGUGAGGUGAAUAACCUCAUCGACUGACGGUACCUUCAGAAGAAGCCCCGGCUAACUCCGUGCCAGCAGCCGCGGUAAU